rnacentral:snRNA from 14 species
AGCUUUGCGCAGUGGCAGUAUAGUAGCCAAUGAGGUUUAUCUAAGACAUGAUUACUGCUAAUUAAAAAAAAUUAAAAAAGCUUUUUCAAUUCCUAAAUGACCUCUAAGUAAAAUGCUGAUAACUAUCAUAAUCACCAUAGUUCCCUGAACCACAAGAGUAAUUUUUGUGGCCAUAACAAAGUAU